CCUGGUGGUUCUGGCGGGGUGGCUGCACCCGUUCCCAUUCCGAACACGGCCGUGAAACGCCCCAGCGCCGAUGGUACUUCGUCUUAAGACGCGGGAGAGUAGGUCGCUGCCAGGUCUGCAAAACGCAGGAUAAACAAACCGAAUAUCUUCUCUCACAAGCCGGACAAACUCGGCGAGAUUUUGCUUCGCAAAACUCG
rnacentral:rRNA from 2 species